GGGACUGUGAUUUCAUGAGCUGUGCCAUUGCCCUCACAAAAAAAUCUUUAAUACGUGGUGUUUUGUUUUUCAGACAUUCCCACUGGCAGAUCAUCUUGAUGCAGUGUGCAACAUCAACUCUGACAAAACAAGGAGGCAGUUUUGCAGAUUGGUUCCCUAGUAGGACACCAAAGCACUCAUUGAUACAACAUCUGGACCACUGGGACACUGGAGCUGUUGGAUCCUGUCAGGACGCCUUGGUAGAGGAAUAUGUGGCCAGAUGAGCCAUUUGGUCUCACCAGUUUUUUCACCACUGAGCCAGUUGCGUCAAAACACACUGUCUGGGUAGCCAAAUUUGGAAGAUGGCCUGGCUCAGGAUCUCCAAAAUCCAUCAGCGUGGUUGCUUGGGAUGCCCGCCAUACAUGGGGUUCCUUCCUGCCUCACACAGUUCUGUGGCUACUUGCUCACGCAAAUGUCCAGACAGGAAACGUUUACAAUGACCUGUGUGCUUGGACUCGUCAAUGUUUUUUAUAUUGCACUUGAGGACCAUUGGGCCGUUUAGUGCAGGCUCUUUUUCACUUUUGAUAUCAAGCUGGCUUUGACACUCUUUGCAGUAGCCUUUUAUGACAAUGUAAUUUGUGGCCUGUGAAGGAUACACCUUGACUCUCUUAAAAAUAAAUGUGCAUGGGCUUUUAACCUGUUUCCACAUGUACUCAUUUAUAGUAUGAGUCCAGAUUCCAGGUUUCAAAAUUGUGUAGCCCCUUUUAUUAUUUGAAGAAGUUUGGUCCUUAUAUUCCACCUCUUCAGGUAUGAACUGAACCCAUUUGUCAAAUGGAACUUCUAAUUGAAAUUCCUGAUUGUGUUCUUGUCCCGGAGGAGAAAGGGAACCUGACUCGGAUGAUUCUGUGUCACUGUUUUCUUCAUCCUUGGUCUGAAUAUUUAACCCUAACACUGACCAGACAUUGAGUCUGUUUAAUUUAACAAUCGAAUACAGGGCCUUUGCAGAUAUUUUUUUUCCAAGAUGCUCGCUCAGCUCAGUCCAGACUCUGGCCUUAGGAGUGUCUAUGUUUCCCUUCUCCAGCACUAUGGCUUCCUUUGAGGAGUAGAGAACUUUCAUGAGGGAAUCUCUGCCUACUGCUGGUUCUUUGGGCAUCUAGUUUAAAGAGAAAUGUACUAUUAGUAUAAAUCAAUUUAAUAUUUUAACUCAUUUAGAACCAGGUAAAUAACAUGGUAUGGAAUAUAAAUAUAAGACACAUGUAAGAGGAUGCUUGAUAAGGUUGUAGGAA